CGCCCUUCAGAGGGGGACAACAGUUGGAAACGACUGCUAGUACCGCAUACGAUCCAAUCUCGGCAUCGAGACUGGAUGAAAGGUGGCCUCUAUUUAUAAGCUAUCACUGAAGGAGGGGAUUGCGUCUGAUUAGCUAGUUGGAGGGGUAACGGCCCACCAAGGCGAUGAUCAGUAGCCGGUCUGAGAGGAUGAACGGCCACAUUGGGACUGAGACACGGCCCAG
rnacentral:rRNA from 1 species